rnacentral:rRNA from 1 species
AGAGUGAACGCUGGCGGCAGGCCUAACACAUGCAAGUCGAACGGCAGCACAGCAGUAGCAAUACUGUGGGUGGCGAGUGGCGGACGGGUGAAGAAUACAUCGGAAUCUACCUUGUCGUGGGGGAUAACCUCGGGAAACCGGGACUAAUACCGCAUACGAACUAUGGUUGAAAGCGGCGGACCGCAAGGCGUCGCGCGAUUGGAUGAGCCGAUGUCCGAUUAGCUAGUUGGCGGGUAAAGGCCCACCAAGGCGACGAUCGGUAGCUGGUCUGAGAGGAUGAUCAGCCACACUGGAACUGAGACACGGUCCAGACUCCUACGGGAGGCAGCAGUGGGGAAUAUUGGACAAGUGGGGGCAACCCUGAUCCAGCCAUGCCGCGUGUGUGAAGAAGGCCUUGGUUAGUAAAGCUACUUUGUUAGGGAAGUAAAGCACGUGGUUAAUACCUUGGUGUCAUGACGUACCCAAAGAAUAAGCACCGACUAACUUCGU